rnacentral:miRNA from 1 species
CUCUGCAUUAUAUACACACUACACACUCUGUAUAUAAUGCAGAGUGUGUAGUGUGUGUAUAUAGUGUAGUG